GACGAACGCUGGCGGCGUGCCUCAUACAUGCAAGUCGAGCGAAGCGGCGGAUGGGUGAGUAACGCGUGGGUAACCGGCCCUUAAGUCUGGGAUACCAUUUGGCAACAGAUGCUAAUACCGGAUACUUAAGGAUGUACCUUCGAUGCAUUAGCUAGUUGGUAAGGUAACGGCUUACCAAGGCGAUGAUGCAUAGCCGAGUGGAUAGACUGAUCGGCCACAUUGGGACGGAGACACGGCCCAAACUCCAACGGGAGGCAGCAGUAGGGAAUCUUCCACAAUGGACGAAAGUCUGAUGGAGCAACGCCGCGGGAGUGAAGAAGGUUUUCGGAUCGUAAAGCUCUGUUGUUGGUGAAGCGGUAAUCAACCAGAAAGUCACGGCUAACUACGUGCCAGCCGCCGCGGUAAUUC
rnacentral:rRNA from 1 species